AUACGUAGGUGGCAAGCGUUGUCCGGAAUGAUUGGGCGUAAAGCGCGCGCAGGCGGUCCUUUAAGUCUGAUGUGAAAGCUCGCGGCUUAACCGCGAAGGGUCAUUGGAAACUGGGGGACUUGAGUGCAGAAGAGGAGAGUGGAAUUCCACGUGUAGCGGUGAAAUGCGUAGAGAUGUGGAGGAACACCAGUGGCGAAGGCGACUCUCUGGUCUGUAACUGACGCUGAGGCGCGAAAGCGUGGGGAGCGAACAGGAUUAGAUACCCUGGUAGUCCACGCCGUAAACGAUGAGUGCUAAGUGUUAGAGGGUUUCCGCCCUUUAGUGCUGCAGCAAACGCAUUAAGCACUCCGCCUGGGGAGUACGGCCGCAAGGCUGAA
rnacentral:rRNA from 1 species